ensembl:lncRNA
UUAGGCAGCAUUUAUAGAAACAAAAGAGAAAAGAAACAACCUACUGUCUGGAGUCAUAACACAACUUUCCUGGAUUGGAAACCAAGUGGGGGAAAAAUACAGAAACUUUAAGGGGGAUGGGAGGGCGGGGAGAAGGGAAAAGCCAGCCCUUUGUAUAGAAAUUUUGCUUUUUUUUUUUCCUCAUUCUACUUUAGAACUGCAAGCUUGUGCACUGUGGAUGCGUGAAUAUUUUAGUGUGAAACGUGUUUUUGUCAUAGUAUUGAAAUAAAACUUCAACAUAGUUUGGUUGUGGAAGGUAUAGCAGAUAGUUCAGAAAAAAAUAUUCAGGAAACAAAAAUCACUCUUAAAAGGAAUCGAAGCCUUUAAACAAAGAAAAUGAAAUACAAAUGAUGAUGAUGAUGAAGAUGACGCUAAGUAAACAGAAAUCAGUACUCCGCAUGCGCUCCUCUCCUAAGGAGGGAUCAACUCCACCAGUUUCCAAUGUCUAUGUGUCUAUGUGUGUAUGUGCCAUACAUAUGUAUUCACAUGAAGACCGGCAUGGCCAAGUUCUGCUGGAGGAGCACUCAAGUGUGAUGAGCAGGGCCACUGGACCCUGCAGGGCUGUGGUGUACAUAGUGCAGCUUUGGAGGUGGAACUCUAUUUUCACACUUUUCUAUGGAGCCUUCCGAGUCCCAGGUUUUCACUCGAGGCGUCUGUCUGGACGGCGGUUUUCAGACCUCCAUUAACAUCCCUACCCAGCAUUCUGUACUUCGGGGGCCUUCUCUCUUGUUAUAAAACUUUUUACCAAGUGAAACAUCGAUACCACCUUUGUUUCCAUUCUCACUGGUGUAAAUACUGAGUACUAACUGAGAAUUUUGACUUUGCAUUCUGUCAGAAUACUUGUGUUCAAUAAAAAUUGAAAGAAAAAAGUUAUUAUGAUCAUACUGGGGUUUAUUUCGAUGCGGUGAGAGUCUGUUCUGUGCAUCAGAUGUGGACAUGCGUGUGGUAGUUCCUUUAGGACCUUGCGUGCGAGGAAGGUUAGUGAAGUCUCAGUGUCUUGAGUUCAUGUGUUGCCUGAAUGAUACUUUCUGUAUUUUUUCUCGCAGGUUGAUAGAUGAGAGCCCUAAUUUAGAAGGGGCAGACAUCAGAUUCAGAAAGGUUUCCUUCAAACCCUGGUUCUGCUGCUCCCUGUUUGACCUUGAAAGAGUUGCUUAAUCUCCCGAAGAUUCAGUUUCCUUUUCUGACACACAGGAAAUACCAAGAAAAGAGAGUUAGGGUGCUGGUUGAUGAAUGAAACCAUGUACAUGAAGGCCUAGUGUCUGCUUUCUUGGCACAUAGUGGGAACUCGAUCAGUGAGAUUUGGUGCUGUUGGCAUCCCGGGUGUGCGAUACCAUCAGACCUAAUUGUAGUAACAGUCAACACCUGAACUUCAAGAUUUCAGCAAUAAGGUAAUGGCAUGGAGCUUAUUCUAAAAUAAGUAAUGCCUCCCUCUUACUGCUUUGGCCUGUCUCUCAGUGUUUAGAGCCAUCAUUCAGCCCCUGGAGUUUAUUAUGUCUCUAAGCUAGACAAAGAGUGAAUAUAAUAUUGCCUCAGCUAAGCAUUCUCUUGUAUAUGCUCCUGGCUGUGUCUGAAAGCAGCAGCUGCUAGAGUUGGAAUUGUCCAUUAGGCUGUGGAAUUGGGAGUUCCUGGACGAGACCUGCUAUAGAACCAAGGCUAAGGUAAAGCAAGGGAGAAUCCAAGGGCACAAAAUGUAAGGAGGUGCUCACUCUCGGGGCCAACCCUGCAGUUACACGAAUCUGAGAGUGAUACAUCCUUCAAUUUUGCAUCCUUCAAUUUUGCCUCGCCUGUAAUAAUGACACAGAACCAUAUGCAUCUAUGUGAUUUUCUUUGCUCCAGAUUUCAGCUGCAUAUGACAGGCUAAGACUAAAACACAUUGUUUACAAGAUUUGGAGAAAAGAUGAAAUGAUGACACUCUCCGUUCGUCCAUGGGGGCUUGCUUCCAGAGCCUUUCCCCUUCGGGCUAGUUUCCUCUCAGAUUCAUUCAGUAUUCAUAGAGCAUCUCCAAGGUGUUUGGGUUACUGGGAUGUGGCAGUGAGCAAGGCAACUCUUUCUCAUGUAGGUUACAUUCAAGCCUGGGAGUGGGGCAGACAGUAGACACGUAAACAUCCAAUGUGCUGUGGUGGUUCUCCCUUUCUUCAUUCUAGACACAUAGUGGGAUUCCCCUCACUUAAAGGUAGGCAUGGCCAGAUGACUUGCUUCAGUAAAUGGAAUAUGAACAGAAGUAGCUUGUGCCACCUCCAGGCAGAGCCUUUGUCAUGCCCGUUUCCCCCACACCCCCCAUAGCAAUCAGCAAUGCUUCAGGCGAUGGAAGUGCCAUCACCUGGGCCCAGAGUGAAGGAUGUGAACAGGUGCUCCAUGAUGGACAUGGAGUGUGUGAGAGGGAUGAGCCAGUGGUUGUUGGUAAAUGUUUAAUGGCCAACUCUCCAAGGGAGAAGGGCAACGUGUGUGUGUGCACACAUGUAUGUGUUUAACUUAUAAAGGAUGCCAUUGACAAAUAAUAAAAUAUACAGUAUUCUACACUGAAAUUGCAUCUAUCCAACUGAUACCCACAGAAUGCUUUGGUUCAUUUUUUGCUGAAGUCUUGUAUCCAUAAUCAGUUUGUGGUUCCCAUUCACAAAGGACUGUAGUUCCAACCUGCAUGUUGGCUGAUGCAUUCAUUUAUGUUAACAAAUAAGAUGAAACCAUAAAGACAUAUGUUAGAACUUCACUCAUCCAUCUAUGAUGUGAGUGACUUCUUUGUUGAAUCGGGGUAAGUUUUUGAAUACUAGAGAAAUACUGCCUCAAUUUUUUGUGCCGUUCGUUCACAGUGUAACAGCUGCAGACAUGGCACACUUGUGAGUUUAAUCUGAAUCAUAAAAUAUUUCCCCAUUACUUCCAUAAGUCUAGACAAGCACUAAAAAAAAAUAAAUCAAACCUUGAUUUGUAGCAUUUACUGACUUCAGCAGUGUGUAAAUACUCUCAGUAUGACUGAUUUCAAUAUGGCAUCACCAGACGAGGAGUUAGGUAGAGAUGCAUAGUAGCAUGUCAUUAUAUAAUACUGUAUUUCCACCAUGCAGAUACAAGAGAAAUAACGUCAAGUGCAUAGGUAAUAGUAGUAUGUAGUAAUAAUAAAAUUUUUAAUAUAUCAAUAAUAGUAGUAAAAUAAGUAGUAAUAUAAUUAAGAAGCGAUGCAUUUUGAGUAUUGCCUUUGGUUUUAAUAUAAUUUACUUAAUUAUAACUUUAUAUAAUUUAACUUUUUAUAAAUUAUAUAUGUUUGUGUAACAACUGGCUCACAAAUUUCCUGAAAAGUUAGCAGUUGGCUCUCUGGAGCCAGUACAAGCUGGCUCCAGCAUAUCACUGGAAAACCCUUUAUAUUAUAAACCACUUAAAUUUGGGAUUUGUAACCUUACCAUUAUUUAGCCUAUCAUGGCUAACUCAGGGAAUGGUGAGUGCAGAGGAGAACAGUGCAUCUAGGUAAAGGGGUUAUGGAGUAUUAUUUUAUAUAGGGCAAUCAGUGUAGUACUCUCUGAAAAGGUGACAUUUGAGCAGUGACCUGAAAGAAGCAAGGAACUGAACUGUGCAAAUAUCUGAAGGAAGAUAUUUCAGGCAGAGAGAACAGCACGUGCAAAGGUCCUGAGGUAGGGACUUGGCUAGUGUCUUUGAGGAAGAGCAAGAGGCCAGUGUGGCUGGAACAGAAAGCAAAAGAUGGGGUGGAGCAGAGAGUAAAGAGAUAGGAGAUGACUCAGAAGUAUCUAUGAGCUAGACUGCACAGGAUCUGUAGACUAUUGUUAGAAUUUUGCCUUUUCUUCAAGUGGGAUGGAAAGCCAAGGGAUGUUUUUGCCAGAAGACUGACAUGACUUGAGUGUUAAAAUGAGCACUCUGGCAGCUGGGUGAAUAACAGAUCACAGGAGGGCAAGAGCAGAUGUAAGGAUACCAAUGAGGAGGCGAUGAUCCAGAGGGGACAGGAUGAUGUGCUUGCAGCAAGCUACAGCUGGUGGAAGGGUGAGCAGUGGCCAGCUCUGGACAUGUACUAAAGGUAAAGCCAGCAAGAUUGGAUAAUAGAUUGGAUGUGCAGUUUGAUAGAGGAAUCACUGCUGACUUUCAGAUUUUGAGUCUACACAUUUGAAAGGAUAGAGUUGCCAUUUGCUUUCUAAAAGGAGCGCAGGAGAAGCAGAUUAUUUGGACGAUGGAACGUUUGUCUCAGGACACUUGAAGCCUGGGAUAUCUGUGAACACCUGAGCAGAGAUUUUGAGUAGGCUAAAGUUUGAGAGGUCCAGACUGGAGAUUCACGAAGGAGCUGUCCACAUAGUGCUUGUACUUCAAACUCUGGGACUUGGCGUGAUCACCAUGGGAUACCCCCAAGUAUAUAGAUUAAAGAGAGAAAAGAACUAAGCAGGAGGCCCAGGAAGUAAAAUGCACAGGCAGCUCCAUCUCAAGGAGAAUUGUCAGAAAUUCCUACUACACCACUCACAGCCUCACCUUGGAGGACAAGGUCAGGAGAGGCAGUGACUCGAUGUCUCCUUUCCAGGUGGCCCGCUCUUCCCAGUCCCUUAAGAGAACUUGCAUCUACCUGUCCUGUUGCCUGGAAAGCAUGGGUAUACUCUGGAGUUUAGAAAAUAAAUUUAUCUUGUAGCUAGAAAAAGAUUUCCUGGGAUCCUUGUUGCCCUGGGUGUUUCCAUGAUCACCACGACACUGGCUAGUGUCCCCCAUUGCUUUCCAGACCCUCAUACCCCCUUCACCUGAUUUAACCCUGAUGCUACUGGGGCAGGCAGAGUAGGGCCUCUGAAUGUUGGGGUGGAGAGUCACCCUAACAUUACCAGUGAAAGCAAGGCACCUAUGCAUCCCUCCAGGUGAAGGUCUCAUAUAAGCUGAGCUUGGAUGGUAGAAUUAGACGAAGGGAGGCUGCAUUAGCUUGCACCUGGUGGCCUCCAAUCCACUGUCCUCACUCUGGACAGAAUGACUUGUGCAGAAUGGGCAUCUCAUCCCAUCUCUGGCUGCCCCCAACAAGAUCUUCAAUGGCUCCUAACGAACCUCAGGAGAGAAUGCAAGCUUUUUAACAAGACUAACACAACCCAUCUUGGUCAGGUCUUGCUUACUGCUCCAGCCCCAGUUCUAGCACUCCUAAAACUUGUACCUAUGCUCCAGCCCUGCUGAACUACUUGUGGGUCCUAAAAUGAUCCACAUUCUCUCCCACCCCCUGAGCUUACACAAAUUAUGUUUCAUUUUGCUUCAAUGCCUGGAAUUGUUAAACACGUUUGACUAUAUUUUAAAGAUGAACACCGUUUACGGUAGCUUUAAUGGCAUUUCCUAAGCACAGCUCGGUUGCCUGGGUCCAGGCUAGAUUGUGGUAAAGGAAGCACAGGCAUUUCCUCUGACCAGAGACCCAGGGAGGGAUGGGGCCUCUCAUGUUCCUGAGCCAUUUCUGUGGAGCUAGAUGUGCUGUCAUCUCAGAGGGUAAGUCAGGGGUUGCUGGCUGAGCACUGGAACUCUUGGGAAUGGGGUCACUUGGUCUUGAGAGGAGCAGGAUGAUGGUCGUGGAUGUGGGACCAGUAGUGGUGGCAGCAGAGAUUCUUAGGGAGAC